rnacentral:lncRNA from 1 species
UCAUCACGAUGAUACUCGAGAAGUCCCACAAUCCAUCAGUGACAUCUAAAAAUAUAUAGUGGUAACUUAGCAGAAUGAAAGUAUUAAACUCCUAGAUAUAGUUAUCAUGUGAUUCAGUCCUUCUAUCAUGAGUUUCGACUUAAUAGAAAUCAUGAAGAACUCAUCAAACUCCAACGUCUAUAAUAUGCUAGAUUGGCUCGACUCGAGUUCACUUGUGAAUCCUGUAAAAAUUAUUUUUCAGUAUUUACACUCGCUUUGGCCAA